CGCUCAAUAAAUAUGAUCGAUAUACUAAAAUUGGAACGAUACAGAGAAGAUUAGCAUGGCCCCUGCGCAAGGAUGACACGCAAAUGCGUGAAGCGUUCCAUCUUUUU